rnacentral:rRNA from 1 species
CCUACGGGGAGCUGCAGUGAGGAAUAUUGGUCAAUGGACGAGAGUCUGAACCAGCCAAGUAGCGUGAAGGAUGACUGCCCUAUGGGUUGUAAACUUCUUUUAUAAAGGAAUAAAACGAGGCACGUGUGCCUUUUUGCAUGUACUUUAUGAAUAAGGAUCGGCUAACUCCUGGCAAGCAGCCGCGGUAAUACGGAGGAUCCGAGCGUUAUCCGGAUUUAUUGGGUUUAAAGGGAGCGUAGAUGGGUUGUUAAGUCAGUUGUGAAAGUUUGCGGCUCAACCGUAAAUUUGCAAUUGAUACUGGCAGUCUUGAGUACAGUUGAGGUAGGAGGAAUUCGGGGUGUAGCGGUGAAAUGCUUAGAUAUCACGAAGAACCCCGAUUGCGAAGGCAGCUUACUAAACUGUGACUGACAUUGAUGCUCGAAAGUGUGGGUAUCAAACAGGAUUAGAUACCCCUGUAUC